rnacentral:rRNA from 1 species
GACGAACGCUGGCGGCGUGCUUAACACAUGCAAGUCGAACGGAAAGGCCCUGCUUUUGUGGGGUGCUCGAGUGGCGCACGGGUGAGUAACACGUGAGUAACCUGCCCUUGACUUUGGGAUAACUUCAGGAAACUGGGGCUAAUACCGGAUAGGAGCUCCUGCUGCAUGGUGGGGGUUGGAAAGUUUAGGCGGAUGGGGAUGGACUCGCGGCUUAUCAGCUUGUUGGGUGGGUAGUGGCUUACCAAGGCAUUGACGGGUAGCCGGCCUGAGAGGGUGGCCGGCCACAUGGGGACUGAGAGACGGCCCAGACGCCUACGGUAGGCAGCAGUGGGGAGUAUUGCACAAUGGGCGGAAGCCUGAGGCAGCAACGCCGCGUGCGGGAUGACGGCCUUCGGGUUGUAAACCGCUUUCGCCUGUGACGAAGCGUGAGUGACGGUAAUGGGUAAAGAAGCACCGGCUAACUACGUG